rnacentral:rRNA from 1 species
GACGAACGCUGGCGGCGUGCUUAACACAUGCAAGUCGAACGAUGAAGCCUAGCUUGCUAGGUGGAUUAGUGGCGAACGGGUGAGUAAUACGUGAGUAACCUACCUUUAACUCUGGGAUAAGCCUGGGAAACUGGGUCUAAUACCGGAUACGACCAAUCUCCGCAUGGGGUGUUGGUGGAAAGCGUUAUGUAGUGGUUAUAGAUGGGCUCACGGCCUAUCAGCUUGUUGGUGAGGUAACGGCUCACCAAGGCGACGACGGGUAGCCGGCCUGAGAGGGUGACCGGCCACACUGGGACUGAGACACGGCCCAGACUCCUACGGGAGGCAGCAGUGGGGAAUAUUGCACAAUGGGCGCAAGCCUGAUGCAGCGACGCCGCGUGAGGGAUGACGGCCUUCGGGUUGUAAACCUCUGUUAGCAGGGAAGAAGAGAGAUUGACGGUACCUGCAGAGAAAGCGCCGGCUAACUACGUGCCAGCAGCCGCGGUAAUACGUAGGGCGCGAGCGUUGUCCGGAAUUAUUGGGCGUAAAGAGCUUGUAGGCGGUUUGUCGCGUCUGCUGUGAAAGGCCGGAGCUUAACUCCGUGGUAUUGCAGUGGGUACGGGCAGACUAGAGUGCAGUAGGGGAGACUGGAAUUCCUGGUGUAGCGGUGGAAUGCGCAGAUAUCAGGAGGAACACCGAUGGCGAAGGCGGGUCUCUGGGCUGUAACUGACGCUGAGAAGCGAAAGCAUGGGGAGCGAACAGGAUUAGAUACCCUGGUAGUCCAUGCCGUAAACGUUGGGCACUAGGUGUGGGGAACAUUCCACGUUUUCCGCGCCGUAGCUAACGCAUUAAGUGCCCCGCCUGGGGAGUACGGCCGCAAGGCUAAAACUCAAAGAAAUUGACGGGGGCCCGCACAAGCGGCGGAGCAUGCGGAUUAAUUCGAUGCAACGCGAAGAACCUUACCAAGGCUUGACAUAUACUGGACCGCAUCAGAGAUGGUGUUUCCCUUCGGGGCUGGUAUACAGGUGGUGCAUGGUUGUCGUCAGCUCGUGUCGUGAGAUGUUGGGUUAAGUCCCGCAACGAGCGCAACCCUCGUUCUAUGUUGCCAGCACGUUAUGGUGGGGACUCAUAGGAGACUGCCGGGGUCAACUCGGAGGAAGGUGGGGAUGACGUCAAAUCAUCAUGCCCCUUAUGUCUUGGGCUUCACGCAUGCUACAAUGGCCGGUACAGAGGGUUGCGAUACUGUGAGGUGGAGCUAAUCCCUAAAAGCCGGUCUCAGUUCGGAUUGGGGUCUGCAACUCGACCCCAUGAAGUCGGAGUCGCUAGUAAUCGCAGAUCAGCAACGCUGCGGUGAAUACGUUCCCGGGCCU